rnacentral:rRNA from 1 species
GACAGAGGGUGCAAACGUUGUUCGGAAUUACUGGGCGUAAAGCGAGUGUAGGCGGUUCGCUAAGUCGGAUGUGAAAGCCCUGGGCUCAACCCCAGGAAGUGCACUCGAAACUGGCGAGCUAGAGUACUGGAGAGGUUGGUGGAAUUCUCGGUGUAGAGGUGAAAUUCGUAGAUAUCGAGAGGAACACCGGUGGCGAAGGCGGCCAACUGGACAGAUACUGACGCUGAGACUCGAAAGCGUGGGGGAGCAAACAGG